rnacentral:miRNA from 1 species
ACAAUUCACCUGCUGAAUCAACUAGCCCUGAAAAUGGAAGGCACUGGAGCCUUGGCCCCAUACUCGGCCGUCGCCAGCAGUCAGGAUGUGUGCUAGAGGCGCGGGAGCA